rnacentral:rRNA from 1 species
UACGUAGGGCGCAAGCGUUAUCCGGAAUUAUUGGGCGUAAAGGGCUCGUAGGCGGUUUGUCGCGUCGGGAGUGAAAACUCAGGGCUUAACCCUGAGCCUGCUUCCGAUACGGGCAGACUAGAGGUAUGCAGGGGAGAAUGGAAUUCCUGGUGUAGCGGUGAAAUGCGCAGAUAUCAGGAGGAACACCGAUGGCGAAGGCAGAUCUCUGGGCCGUAACUGACGCUGAGGAGCGAAAGCGUGGGGAGCGAACAGG